CCUCAGCACUGCGGUAAUAUGGCUCCGUAGCGAGCGGCCCAGCUUGGUGCUGCUGCCGCCAUUAACCCUUGGGUGUCCGGCGGCGGGGGGGCGGCCCGGCGGGCUCAGGCGCUGCCCGGCCGUUGCCCUGCCUUGAGGAUGAGCUCGGCCGCCGGCCCCGCCGCCCUACCUCCGGGCUCCGCCACCAGGGCCUUGCAUGUGGAGCUGCCCUCGCAGCAGCGCCGGCUUCGCCACCUUCGGAAUAUUGCUGCCCGUAACAUCAUCAGUAAGAAUGGUUAUCGCCUCUUGGACACGUAUUUCACUCUCCACCUGUGUGAUAACACCAAGAUAUACAAAGAAUUUUAUAAGAGUGAAGUGAUCAAGAAUUCUCUGAAUCCAACCUGGAGGAGUUUGGACUUUGGAAUAAUGCCUGAUCGUCUCGAUACGUCUGUCUCGUGUUUCGUUGUGAGGAUCUGGGGUGGCAAGAAGGAGCACUUCCAGCUUCUGAUCGAAUGGAAGGUCAAUCUGGAUGGAUUGAAGUACUUGGGACAGCAGAUACAUGCAAGAAACCCAAACGAGAUUAUUUUUGGUCUCAAUGAUGGUUAUUAUGGAGCUUCGUAUGAGCAGAAGGAUCACUCAGGUACCCUGAAGAACAGCCUUCUCCAGGUGGAUCAGAACUGCGUUCGUAACUCUUACGAUGUCUUCUCUUUGCUUAGGCUUCACAGAGCCCAGUGUGCAAUUAAACAGACUCAGGUAACCGUUCAGAAAAUAGGAAGGGAGAUAGAAGAAAAGCUGAGAUGCACAUCUACAAGCAAUGAACUGAAAAAGGAGAGUGAAUGUUUACAGUUGAAGAUCCUGGUGCUACGUAAUGAACUGGAGAGGCAGAGGAAGGCCCUUGGUCAAGAAGUAGCUUUGUUACAUAAGGAAAAGAAUACUUUACAUGACAAAGGAAAUGCAUUUGAGGCUGAGUAUCAGAAGCAUCAAGAGCGUAAUGAAUCCCUGCAUGAAUUAAGAAAAGAAUGCACUGCAAAGAGAGAACUGUUCCUGAAGACCAGCGCCCAGCAGACCGCUCGAUGCAAGCAGUUGCUCUCAGAGCUGUCCUACAUCUACCCUAUCGACCUGAAUGACCAAAAGGAUUACUUUGUUUGUGGAGUCAAGCUUCCGAACUCUGAAGACUUUCAAGCAAAAGAUGAUGGAAGCAUCGCUGUUGCCCUGGGCUACACCGCUCAUUUGGUUUCAAUGAUCUCCUACUUCUUACAAGUGCCACUCAGGUAUCCCAUAAUUCACAAGGGCUCCAGGUCUACAAUCAAAGAUAACAUCAACGACAAACUGACAGAGAAAGAGAGAGAAUUUCCUUUAUACCCAAAAGGAGGAGAGAAGCUUCAGUUUGAAUAUGGAGUGUAUCUUCUCAACAAAAACAUAGCACAGCCUCGUGUGUUUUCCUGCAUGAUUCUGAAGUUGGCCAUUGGGUCGUGUGGCAACAGCUACUCUGUGCUGCUUCGCUUAGGUAUCAACAUGGGCUGAGUACUCCAGAUCUAAGGCAAACUCUUCCUAACCUGAAAAAUUUCAUGGAACUCGGGCUCAUGGUCAGAUGAUAUUCCAGGUGCUGCAAGGUGUCGAAAAUAUCAUCCAGUGUGAGGUAACACCACCAGGGUUUGCUGCCAGAUCACUUGGUGCUGCCCUGGUGACUGGAGAUGGACUCAACACUGCUUCAGCUGAUUGGAGAAAUAAUCUCUCUUGUCACAGUUAACGCUAAAUUAGGGUGGAAGAGUUGCUCCUAAUGAGAUAAUAAACUAUUAAGCACUAAUGGGCAGACGUUAAUAACUUGGAGCUGGUUUGUGUCUUCUGGGAGAAUCUGAAAACCCAAAAACCUGAUUUGAAACGACACCACUGUGACCCUGGCUGAUCUUUAACAGUGCAGUUAAAGCUUUCUAGGGCUGUUCGUAUUGUAUCUGAAUGCCCUGAAGCACUGAGCAGACCCUGCUGGUGUAUGCCAUCUUCUCACUACUGAAACUUCAAAAGAGUUUUGCUUUCUCAGAGCUGAUGAUUGCUGCCUUCUGGUAGACUGAGUCUAUCUUUGUUCCUCCAAUACGCAGAACGUGGGAAGGAGAACAGCUAUGAAGGCAGCUUGUGAUCACACAAUACUAAAAGGCAAGGGGGGGGAAAGAAAAAAGAGCUUUUCAUUGCUGCUCCAAUUGAAAAUGAUAGGAGCAGGCUUUGGAUGGAGUUAUGUGCCUCGGAGUAACGUGGCUCAGUAUCAGACCCCUGGAACAAGAGUUCUGCUUUUAGUAACAGCCCCUAAAGUCCUAUGGGACGUCACUGUACCAGAGCACUUUCCAGCCCUUAUUUCUAUGCUGCACUUUGCUUUUAUCUUUCCUUCAGCCCUUGCGUAUAGAAAUGCUGAUCAAAGUGAGCAAAGCUGUUUGGCAAAUCGUUUGACUGGGAGAAUAAUCUUGGCAAAUACGGGAGGAGGAGAGGGAUCAUCUUUGAGCAGAGCAGUGCAAGUGUUGCCUGAUGGAAAUCCAGCUCAGCCAGCAAACAGAGCCUGAGAAAAGGAAGCUGUGGUUCUCGUGCAGUUCCACAUUCUCAGUAGUUGUAACCACAGCUGAAAAGAUUCUCCCUUCUUUUCUUAUCCCGAGGUGGGGGAAGAAAAGCUUCAAUCAUCAGGCAAAUAUUGCUGUCAGUUUGUUAUUUCAUCCAUCGCUGUGAUGUCAAAACCCAAAGAUGACGUGUGGUCACCUAAAUAAGAAUACAAAGGGCUAAAAUACCCAAACUAUGGCUUCUGUAGUGCCUGAACCUCGUGUGCGGGCUGGGAUGGGUGCAGGUGGCCCUCGAAUAAGCAGAGAGAUGAGGGCUCUGGGUCACAAGGUGUACAUCUCUGCUCUUCCCUCCUAGUGUCCAUUAGCUUUGAAGAGCAGAUAGUGUCAGCUUUAGGUAUUUGUUGGAGGUUUUGCCUUCGUGCUGCCAGGUUGUUUUUUUUUUCCUGUUAGGUGAUACGCAGUCAUUAGCGAGACAAAACACAUUUUUGGGCCGGAUAAUAUUUCAAAACAUGUAGGAAUAUGAAGCACAGUUCUCUGGGAAUAUCACAUUCCCUCCUUGCCCCCACAUGAAUGUCUAUGCCUCAUUUCCUUCUCACCUCCACGACUUGCAUGCAUAGUUGUUCUUUUUUAACUUUUUCUUAAGGCUGAUGACUCUAAACAAGGCUCCUUGGUGCUUCCUAAUAAUAUAAAUGGAAAUGAGCCUUUACAGGGAGCCUGGCUCAAGGGGAAAACUGGCGAGACUUCCACAGCCAGGCACUGCAGUUGAGCACAUGCGUAGCGGAGCACAGAUGCCCACUGUCUUGUGAAUAAUAUCUGCUUACAUAUAUUUAAGCAAGCAGAAAGGCCACCAGCUGUUAAAAUGAAGAUUGGAAGGGAUUUUUCGUUUUCAGGAUACAGCAGGUGAGUAAUCUGUGCUGCAGACAGCAGUCGGCAAAGUAUUUCCAGGCUAUCCUUCAUCUGUGGGAUGAGAGCAGGAGCAUGUGAGGUGGUGAUGAGUUUUUCUUAUUCACACAUUCAUUUACACUGACUGGUUUGGUUUUCUUGUUGUUGUUCAAUUGCUGGUUUUCAGUUUCCUUCGUUAUCACUGCAGACAGCUUUUGCUGAACGGCUGUCAAAUCACAGUCGUGCUGUGACUUACGUUGCACUUAGUUUAUCUGUGAAGAGGACCUACUCAUAGCUCUCACUGUUCUCUAGAGACAUCUCUGUUUCUCUUCAGCCUGGAAUUGAAUCCCAGAGAUAAACAGGGUAACCAAAAUCUGUAGUUAUUUAAUUCAGGCUUAGCCUCACUCUCUGAGAAGGAUCAGAUAUACACAUCAGAAUAUAUAUAUGUAUAUAUAUCAGAUAUAUAUAUACAGAAUAGUUUUGUUACUCCUGCAGAUGUGGGGAUGAUGUUUAGUUUUUGUUUUCUCACAACUUUGGUUGUAAAACCAAUUAGCCCAUUAUUUCAGGCUUCAGUCGGAGCAAAUUUGGCAGUUUUCUAUAGAUUUCUUUGCUUCAGGCUCUGAUGAACUGCAUAGUUCUGCCUGCAGCCUUUUGUAUACCUGCAGGGUUGGACUGAGGUUUAAUUGCGUUGCUGCUGGAUGCCUCUGCCUGGGGAGACUUGUUUUAGUUUCUCAAGCAUUAAAUGAUGAAUACAUGUUUUCACAUCGCAACUUGCAUGAUUUAUUGCAUCAAGCUUGCAGGUCUGCAAGCUCUGCUUCCCUCUUCAUAUCUCCUGGCACCUAUAUUCUGCUGUAUUUACCUUUCUCCUCGUGUGCCCCAACUGCAGAGUAUUACUGUAUUAUACGUAGAUGAAGCCGGGACAGAUCUGCUGCUUCUGCACAUGCUGUUACAGAGGCUAAACAACACCAAAGCCUUACUUUCCUGCUAUCAGAUUUAGAUGAUGUCUCACUUUCGUAAGGUGAAAGAUGACGAGCUAAAGUUUUGUUUGAUUUACAUUUUCCCAGUUGUGUUCUCCAAAAUCUUUGUUUCCUUUUGGGAACACUUCUCUGUAUUUCAGAUUUCUCAAGCAUGGGAUCUCGCUGGCUUCCCGAAAAGCAGCUCAUUUUUAAGACCAGCAUUUGUUGAUGCAUGAGGGGCCCUAUGCAGUUGUUCUCUGAAUAUCUGAAAGUAUGCAGUUCAUUCUAGCUUUUGAGACACUGAAUCUGUACUUUACACCUGGACUGCUUACACAUAUACACUUGACUUUGUUUUAUUCCUUUCUGCGUGUUCACCUUUGUCGUUCACAAGUCAGCCUGACUUCUGAGGAACGGUAUUUGUAUUAAGAGCAAAUAAAGCAGCACUCUGCAAACUCGAGCAGUGCAGUGAGAAGGCUUUUCCUAGUGAAGAAAUGAAACAACAGGAUUAACUAAUGUGGUGUUAACGCACGUGUUCCUUUAGAAAUCCUUGUCUGCAGUCAGGGAGAUGUCCUUUGGGACCCUUAUGUAAAAGCUAUACCCAAAGAUGCUUGCACACCAAGGCCUUCCACUACUUGAAGGGAGCGGAUAAACAGGAGUGGGAAUGGCUGUUUGUGAGGGUGGAUGGUGACAGGAUAAGGGGGAAUGGUUUUAAAGUGAGACAGGGGAGGUUUGGGUUGGAUAUGAGGAGGAAGUUUUUGAGCCAGAGGGUGGUGAGGCACUGGCACAGGUUGCCCAAGGAGGCUGUGGAUGCCCCAUCCCUGCAGGCAUUCGAGGCCAGGCUGGAUGUGGCUCUGGGCAGCCUGGGCUGCUGGUUGGCGACCUGCACACAGCAGGAACAGGUUGGAGCUGGAUGAGCUCUGUGCUCCUUUGCAACCCAGGCCAUUCUGUGAUUUCUUCAACGUUUUCAAAAAGUUGUUUGGCUCCAAACAAGGGCAAACCUCGUUGUUGUCUGAGCUGUUCACAGGCUUGUGCAGAUGCUCAGCCAUCCUCUGCACUGCUGCAGUCGCCCUGGUUGAGCCCAUACAGCCUUUCAGCUUGUGGUCACUCUGUUUUCCAGCCUGAGUAAGGUAGGUGAUUUCUCUGGCAUAUCCAUGCAGUCCCAGAGCUAUUGCCCUUUUGGUGCCUGUAGGUGAAAAAGCAAACUUAAGACAUUCUCAUGCAGUGCAGUAUCACACCUGGGGAGCUGAAGGUGUAAAGCAAACAAUGUGUUUCAGGUGUAGGUGCAGAGCAUUAUUUACCUUUCAUUGUGCUUCUUUGCAACCCACUCCAUGAUUCUAUCGUUGCUUCUGAAUUGCAGUUAUGCCUUGGUUUGUAUUCUGCUAGAUUCAACAGGAGGCCAAUGCAUAACAUUACAGCAGAGGAAACUCUGGUAGCUUAAUUUAUGAAGAUUUUUUUUUAUUAUUUCAAAAGCACGUGUCAGAAUUCCAUAGCUGCCAAAAGGCACAGUUUCACCUCAGCUUCGUACUGGCAGCCUCCCUUAGCAUCCCUGUCACCACCGUGUGUAACUUACCCAGUAAUCUCAGAGAAGGUGAGAAGCUCUUAUUGCUUUGUAGCACGGUUGACAUGAUAUUGGCCCAGGGCUGUGCUUGGAGCUUCAGGCAUUUCAGAUGGCUGUAAACCAACUUAAACACCUUCAUUUAGCCUCCAUGCUGCCAUGAGGUCAUAGUUUGCAAUAUACACACACACACAAAAAAGAUCAAAUGCUGUUAUUUUUUUUUAAAGUAUUCUCAUACCAAAGAGCUGUAGCUGUGGAUUUUGGCUUUGGGCCCGACAAUCAAGAUUUAGUGUUUUGACCAGCUGUGAUCCAAUAAUGUUCCUCAGAGGAAACGUUUUGCAGGGAGGAAAAGGUGCAUAUUUGAGCCUGCAAAUUGUGUUCUGUCUCAUAGUGCUUUACAGUUUCUCUGUGCCCUUUGCAGACGGAUUAAAUAAUAGCAACUGAAUCUGACCAGAGAAACUCUUUAUCAAAACCACAAACGGAUUCCAGUUGUAAUCUGUUCUCUAGGAAAAAUAACUCCAGAAAUGGCUGCCCACUAUUUCAGUCAGCGUACCGUAGGUGUUUGCAGUGCGGAGUUCACGUCUUGCACCACGGGUCUGAAGAAUAAAAAUGAGUAUUCUGGGGGAGAAAACAGAUACCUCGUAGAUUUUCUGCCAGUAAAACUUGUAGCUGAGGUUAGAGUCUGUAUAAAUUGACGUUCUAGAUUUGGAUGCAAUUGAAGCACUGAAAUCAGUGGUGAUGUAAUUCUCUUAUCUACGAUAGCCAAUAAAUCAGAAUUUCUCUUCCAUUUUUGCUUUUAAUUUGGAAAUUCUACUUCCUAAGAGCAAUCUGACCUACUCCUCUGUGUCACUCGUCCCAGUCUGAUCCAACUGGAUGACUAAACACCAUUAAGACCCAAUGACAGUUCAUCAGGCCAGGUUUUCCUACUCCACCAGUUGCAGGCUGUUCCUUUUGGGCAGGUGUCCACAUCUGUUUGCUGUCCCAGAAGAUCAAGCAGGUCAUUGUGUCAGGAAGCUGAACCAGCUCACCCCUAGUGAUUCAGGUCAAGGCUGUGCCUCAGGGCUGCACUCUGCAUGCUGAACUUGUUUGGCUAGCAAGGAUACCUUGCGCUCUCUACAGUUUACGGGCAAUUGGAUGUUAAUUUUCUAUGUGAAGUGCUUUUUCUUAUUAAUUCCAUGAGCUGUGAAGCUGAUAAAGCACUUCUUUCUCAUGGCUUUGCCUUGAUGCAGUGCUGUGAGUUUUGGUAACCAUACAGACGUUGCUCAAGGGAAAUGUGAGUAGAAUAGAGUUCCUCUGUCAGCUGCUUGUUUUCGUAGAGAUUAAUAGCAACCUCGCACAUCUGAGCUCUGUGCUUCUUUGGAAACGUUAUUUCUGAUCUGAAACUACGGUUUGACUUCAUGUUCUCACCUGGGGGAAGGUGAGGGAGCAGGAGAAGAUGCCUUGGCUUGACUGUAGCUGAGAACCAUGCAUUUUUUAUUUCACUCACUGCAGUAUGAUGAUCAAUCGCAUAAUCAUAAAAUGGCUUGGGUUGGAAGGGACCUCAAAGAUAAUGCAGUUCCAACCCCCUGCUGUGGGGCAGGGCUGCCAACCACUCAAUCAGUCACUAGAUCAGGCUGCCCACGGCCCCGUCCAGCGUGACCUUGAACCUCCAGGGAUGGAGCAUCCACAAUCCACAGCUUUUGGGUACAGAGACCCAUUCAUUCUAAACCGGUUGCUCAGUUCAUGGCCAAGAAGAGGCAUCCAAAGGGGAGGAUGGUCCCCUUCAUCACCACGGGCUCACAGCAUGGUGUUGCUCACCUUUCUGUCCACUGCCUGCACUGUUAUUUUUUUCUACCAGUGACUGUGGAAAGAGGGUAGGCAAUGAACUCUUGGAUGGCUGAUCUCCAAAGGCCUUCAUGUGUAUUUAUUUUUAUCUAAAUGCCGUAGCUAAUAUUUGAUAGGCGCUUAAGCCAUUCUGUUGACCUCAUUCCUGCUCUCUCAGCUUUAGGCUGUUAUCCCUGUAAUUAUUCCUGACUGAAGCUAAGCCCAUCCCAUUCAUAUUUAUUGGCAGUGAGGAAUAGUUUCAGCAAUCUGCCUGCGUAUGUGUCCAGCAGAUUAAAACCCAAUCUUACAGGCUGAAGUAGGGCCCAUUUAACCGUAUGUAGUUUAAGGAGCCUGGCUGCAAGUGCUUUUUGUUUUAAUUCAUUAGUUUGAACGCUGGUAUGAUAAAUGAAGAUGAUUCCUGCCAUGUUGCCCUAUGGACUGCCCUUAUGUACUCUGCUAAAGAACUGGGAGGUUAUUUUGUAAAUGAGGGAGAUUAGCUCUGCAUUGCUGCUAUGUUUAGGCUGUUAGAUCACUUAGCGUAGAUCAUUCUGCCAGUUCGACUUACUAAGAGGUUUUUUUUACUUUGGCUGCUGUACUGAAGAGGUAUUGUUCAGACAUGCAUAACAUGUUAACUUGAAUGGCCUUGUCAUAACAAGCACUUGAAAAACUCUUCUGGUCCUGCAAGCUAAUUAAUGUCUCACCCUUUUGACUGCAUCUACAAAGCAGUUUGGCUGUAUUUCUUUUUAGGAGAAGCUCGAGUUUACGUGCCCACCGGAACAAUUUGUAAAGCUGCUUCUCUCGAGCUAAUUAGACAUUACAGUUGUUCAUGUUCAUUGUACUCAGGCACUUACAUCUCUGCUGUUUCUUCACCU